rnacentral:rRNA from 1 species
AUUGAACGCUGGCGGCAUGCUUUACACAUGCAAGUCGAACGGUAACAGGCCGCAAGGUGCUGACGAGUGGCGAACGGGUGAGUAAUGCAUCGGAACGUGCCCAGUCGUGGGGGAUAACUACUCGAAAGAGUAGCUAAUACCGCAUACGAUCUAUGGAUGAAAGCGGGGGACGGUAAGGCCUCGCGCGAUUGGAGCGGCCGAUGUCAGAUGAGGUAGUUGGUGGGGUAAAGGCUCACCAAGCCAACGAUCUGUAGCUGGUCUGAGAGGACAACCAGCCACACUGGGACUGAGACACGGCCCAGACUCCUACGGGAGGCAGCAGUGGGGAAUUUUGGACAAUGGGCGCAAGCCUGAUCCAGCAAUGCCGCGUGCAGGAAGAAGGCCUUCGGGUUGUAAACUGCUUUUGUACGGAACGAAACGGCUCUGGUUAAUACCCGGGGCUAAUGACGGUACCGGAAGAAUAAGCACCGGCUAACUACGUG